rnacentral:rRNA from 1 species
AACGAACGCUGGCGGCAUGCCUAACACAUGCAAGUCGAACGAGACCUUCGGGUCUAGUGGCGCACGGGUGCGUAACGCGUGGGAACCUGCCCUUAGGUUCGGAAUAACUCCCCGAAAGGGGUGCUAAUACCGGAUAAUGUCUUCGGACCAAAGAUUUAUCGCCUUUGGAUGGGCCCGCGUUGGAUUAGCUAGUUGGUAGGGUAAAAGCCUACCAAGGCGACGGUCCAUAGCUGGUCUGAGAGGAUGAUCAGCCACACUGGGACUGAGACACGGCCCAGACUCCUACGGGAGGCAGCAGUGGGGAAUAUUGGACAAUGGGCGAAAGCCUGAGCCAGCAAUGCCGCGUGAGUGAUGAAGGCCGUAGGGUUGUAAAGCUCUUUUACCCGGGAUGAUAAUGACAGUACCGGGAGAAUAAGCUCCGGCUAACUCCGUG